CACCAGUUCUCCCGGAGUCGCCUGUGUUCCCGCUGGGGUGUUUAGUUUUAAAAGAGCGAUCUGAAAAUCUGCCCAGCUUGCCGCGGAAUCUAGACCGUUACAGGCAGGUCAGCGCUGGCCUUUGGCGUCCUGCUCGUCUGAACUGCGGCAACAAACGCUUCCCGGACCCUUCCUGUGAGCUGGGCUCCGUGCCAGGGACACCGCCAUGACCGUGACUGAGACAGACCUGCUUUCUGAUGUUCAACAGAUGGCUUCAAGCAGCGGGUGGGGAGGACCCUUCCCAGGGCCGGCGCGCCCCCCUCGUCCUUCACGGCUCGGUCCGGACGCCCCCUCCUCAGAGACGCCUCCCUUGACCCUCGCCUCGGUCUAAGAUGGCCCGCCAGGCUCCCCUCUUGCUCCCUUCCCUCCCCUCGGGCCGACGCCUCGCGUGUGUCCAGACUCAUCUGCGUGACGCGCUCCUUUCGGGGCGCCCUUGGCGCGCAGGUGUCCGGGGCGCGUCUCCGCCGGAGCGAGGGGGCGGCGGC